CUCUUAUUUCUGUAGAUAUGUUGAUUCAAGAUUGAAUACACUUAUCAAUAACAGUAUUAACCAACGUUUUGUUACCACCCAAUAUUAAUAAAUUGGCACGGAAGUCUGAAUUUUUCUGUUCUUAAUAUCACUUCUGUGCUUUCCCUGUACUGAAUUGGUGUUACAAUUUUCUUCAAUUUAUGUCCUGUUAGUUGGGAUUUAUUUACGUGAAGUAAAAGGGACCCGGCUUGUUAAAUUCUGUUUCCAUUUUGUUAAUUGAUAUAACAUUAUGGUAUUUCUAUUUUGUUUUUUAUGUGGACUUCUCCCACUGACGACCUUAGAUAAUGAUGUUGCCCCAAGAGUAUUAACACUAAUGUUUUAUAUGACCACGUUCUUAAAUAUGUUGAUAAGAAAGGCAGUAAACUUUUGCACCAUUCCUCUUUGGAAUCGGAUGCAACAUAAUUGAGGAUUUCACUGAUCAUCUAAAGUUAAUCCACAGAGGACAUCCUGCAUAUUUUUUCAGGGUUGUUUUCUCAAUGAUGUUAAGAGAGAUGAGUAAGAUGACAAGCGCUUGGACAAAUAUGAGCAUUGCAAUCAUACAUAGGGAUAUAGAAAGGGAAUGGGAGAAUCCUUGUGGAGUUAUGGGUAUUUUUUUUAAAAUGGAGAUGCUUGAUCACUCUCAGAAAAGCUAUGCACUGCUAAAAUUCUGGAGAGGAUGAGGAGAUACAAAAUUUAUUUCAAUAUUAUAAUACCUUUGGAGCAUCUUGGAGCGAAUGAGCAAUGGAAUUGUGGAGCACGGCUCACAUGGAGGAUUGCUCUCUUGGUUUGCUUUGUUGUUUUUGGUUCUACCUUAUUUUAAGAGUAAAGUUGUUGAUACAGAUGGCAAUUGUUGUAGAAGAUGGUUGUUCUAUCCUUUUGAUGAUUCAUUUAAUAGAUGUAUGAUGUUAUGACAUAACAUGUGCAGGAAUAAUAUUUCAAACACUCGGACUAAUUUGUUUCCUUGAAGAUGAGUAGUCGUUUUUCCCGCACGAUAUAUGUUGGAAACUUGCCCUC